rnacentral:sRNA from 1 species
UUGGCAACCCUGGACACUUUAUCUACAAAACAAGCACAGCCCAGGCACUGGCAAUGAAAGCUUCUGCCAUGCUGGUGUCUGCUGAAUUGCCUCCACCCUCUCCAGGAGAGACUGUCUCUGGGACUGAGCAACAGAGCAUUUCCUUGGGCUGUUCAGUCUUUGACUUUU